GAUGAACGCUGGCGGCGUGCCUAAUACAUGCAAGUCGAGCGAACAGAUGAGGAGCUUGCUCCUCUGACGUUAGCGGCGGACGGGUGAGUAACACGUGGAUAACCUACCUAUAAGACUGGGAUAACUUCGGGAAACCGGAGCUAAUACCGGAUAAUAUAUUGAACCGCAUGGUUCAAUAGUGAAAGACGGUUUUGCUGUCACUUAUAGAUGGAUCCGCGCCGCAUUAGCUAGUUGGUAAGGUAACGGCUUACCAAGGCAACGAUGCGUAGCCGACCUGAGAGGGUGAUCGGCCGCACUGGAACUGAGACACGGUCCAGACUCCUACGGGAGGCAGCAGUAGGGAAUCUUCCGCAGUGGGCGAAAGCCUGACGGAGCAACGCCGCGUGAGUGAUGAAGGUCUUCGGAUCGUAAAACUCUGUUAUUAGGGAAGAACAAAUGUGUAAGUAACUAUGCACGUCUUGACGGUACCUAAUCAGAAAGCCACGGCUAACUACGUG
rnacentral:rRNA from 1 species